rnacentral:rRNA from 1 species
GCAAGUCGAGCGGAGACAGUGAGUAGCUUGCUAUGAGCUGUUUUAGCGGCGGACGGGUGAGUAACGCGUGAGCAACCUUUCCCAGACAGGGGAAUAACACACCGAAAGGUGUACUAAUACCGCAUAAGACCACGGGAUCACAUGGUUCUGGGGUAAAAGAUUUAUCGGUUUGGGGUGGGCUCGCGUCCGAUUAGGUAGUUGGUGAGGUAACGGCCCACCAAGCCGACGAUCGGUAGCCGACCUGAGAGGGUGAUCGGCCACAUUGGGACUGAGACACGGCCCAAACUCCUACGGGAGGCAGCAGUGGGGAAUAUUGGGCAAUGGGGGGAACCCUGACCCAGCAACGCCGCGUGGAGGAAGAAGGUUUUCGGAUCGUAAACUCCUGUCCUUGGAGACGAGUAGAAGACGGUAUCCAAGGAGGAAGCCCCGGCUAACUACGUGCCAGCAGCCGCGGUAAUACGUAGGGGGCAAGCGUUGUCCGGAAUAAUUGGGCGUAAAGGGCGCGUAGGCGGCUCGGUAAGUCUGGAGUGAAAGUCCUGCUUUUAAGGUGGGAAUUGCUUUGGAUACUGUCGGGCUUGA